rnacentral:lncRNA from 1 species
UUUGUCGAGGAAGCUCAGUCGAAGCCUGCUUGCAAAAGAAAUAUGGAAGGAAUUCAUCCACAAUGGAAGCUCGGGUGAAGGCUUACAGUGAAAGUCCGGUGCGGACCGCUCGUAGUAAAAAUUUAAAGUAGACCGCUUGUAGCAGAAGCUCAGAGUCCGGCCCUUGUAGGAGUUUGGAUGAGGUCCACCUGCAACAGGAGUUCAGGGUGGAAGUCUGGCUCCCGUAGG